UACACUCCUACGGGAGGCAGCAGUGGGGAAUAUUGGACAAUGGGCGAAAGCCUGAUCCAGCAAUGCCGCGUGAGUGAUGAAGGCCUUAGGGUUGUAAAGCUCUUUUACCCGGGAUGAUAAUGACAGUACCGGGAGAAUAAGCCCCGGCUAACUCCGUGCCAGCAGCCGCGGUAAUACGGAGGGGGCUAGCGUUGUUCGGAAUUACUGGGCGUAAAGCGCGCGUAGGCGGCUUUGUAAGUUAGAGGUGAAAGCCCGGAGCUCAACUUCGGAAUUGCCUUUAAGACUGCAUCGCUAGAAUCGUGGAGAGGUGAGUGGAAUUCCGAGUGUAGAGGUGAAAUUCGUAGAUAUUCGGAAGAACACCAGUGGCGAAGGCGACUCACUGGACACGUAUUGACGCUGAGGUGCGAAAGCGUGGGGAGCAAACAGGAUUAGAUACCCCAGUAGUCCCA
rnacentral:rRNA from 1 species